rnacentral:rRNA from 1 species
AACGCGAAGAACCUUACCCGGGCUCGAAGUGCUACUGACCAGCUGUAGAAAUAUAGCCUUCUCGCAAGAGACAGUAGUAGAGGUGCUGCAUGGCUGUCGUCAGCUCGUGCCGUGAGGUGUUGGGUUAAGUCCCGCAACGAGCGCAACCCUUACUCUUAGUUGCUACCCGCAAGGGAGAACUCUAAGAGGACUGCUCCGGAUAACGGAGAGGAAGGUGGGGAUGACGUCAAGUCAGCAUGGCCUUUAUGUCCGGGGCUACACACGUGUUACAAUGCAUGGUACAAACUGUUGCGAUCCCGCGAGGGGGAGCUAAUCGGAGAAAGCCAUGCUCAGUUCGGAUUGCAGUCUGCAACUCGACUGCAUGAAGCCGGAAUCGCUAGUAAUGGCGUAUCAGAACGACGCCGUGAAUACGUUCCCGGGCCUUGUACACACCGAGACGAC